rnacentral:rRNA from 1 species
UACGUAGGGGGCAAGCGUUGGUCCGGAUUUAUUGGGCGUAAAGCGCAGUGUAGGCGGCCAGAUAGGUCUGCUGUGAAAACUCGAGGCUACAACCUCGAGCUGUCGGCGGAAACCAUCUGGCUAGAGUCCGGAAGAGGAGAGUGGAAUUCCGUGGUGUGAGCGGUGAAAUGCGCAGAUAUCAGGAAGAACACCUAUGGCGAAGGCAGCUCUCUGGGACGGUACUGACGCUGAGACGCGAAAGCGUGGGGAGCGAACAGG